rnacentral:tRNA from 1 species
GGGGGUAUGGCUCAGUUGGUAGAGCGUCUCGUUCGCAACGAGAAGGCCGCGGGUUCGAAUCCCACUAUCUCCACCA